rnacentral:ncRNA from 1 species
CACCAAGUCCUGCAAUCUUUUGCACUUUUCAACAAGUUUAAGCAUGCAUAUGUAAAUAUAAACACUUUGUAAUGUGAAACUGCAAAUGUUUCAUUAAAUCAGCUAUAGUUUUUUUGAUAAUGUCUUUCUUUGGAUAACUGCAGUAAUUCUAGAGCUAAUAUUUGCACAAAGGUCUGACUUCAUAGAAGGGCUGUAUUUAUUAGAUAAAAGAUCGAUGUGGAGAUUGCUCUGAUGGUACGGUGAAUCAUGAUAACUUGACGAAGCACACGAUCUUAACGCAGACGAUGUUUCAUUUAUAUUUUUGGCCUAUCAAUUGUCAACAGUAGAAUAGAGGCCAACUAUGAUGAUAACGGGUGACAAAAAAUUAAGAUUUGUUUCUAAACAAGUAACUUGAGAAACAACCAUCACAUCCAAGAAAAAAAGCUUUUGAUGUGCACUAGUGGUACUUUUUUUUGGCCAAGAAUCCGCAUAUGGUCUUGAUUGGUGAGCCGCAAAGUUUGCGAUGUUACUUUGAAAAACUUAGAGUGCUCAAAACAAUUCAUUGGCUUUAAAUUCAUUAGCAUGAAAUAACGCAAUAGAAUUUUGUUCUUAUUCUUUUGAUCUUCGAGAUCAAAGUUUUGAUUAUUAUGAACAAUUGGAGUCAUUUGUAUUUCAUGGUAAGAGUUGCAAUUCUUGAAUUCACAAAAGACAAACUUCUACAUAAGCAUAUGUCAAAGAAGUUUUUAUUGAUCAAGAACAAAAGUUGGAAACAAUU